GAAAUGCGAAAAGUAAUGCGAAUUGCAGAAUUCAGCGAGUCAUCGAGUUUUUGAACGCACAUUGCGCCCGCCGGUAUUCCGGCGGGCAUGCCUGUCCGAGCGUCUACAACAAACCCUCGAGCCUUUCCUCCGUUAUUCUCGCGGAGGGACCGCGCUCGGUCUUGGACCAAUCCAGAUUCCUAGGCGACUCGUCGCCGCGGGAGGUCUUUAAAUCGAUCGCCGGAGGACGCUCAGCGGUGGAGCCGAUCAAGCCAGAGUCGCGAGAUCGGCUGUGAACCUCCGUCUGAGUUCCUCCAGGAACGAACGAAGCUCUUACGCCGCUUUUUUUUUUUUUCGACCUCGGAUCAGGUAGGGUUACCCGCUGAACUUAAGC
rnacentral:misc_RNA from 1 species